rnacentral:rRNA from 1 species
UACGUAGGGUGCAAGCGUUAAUCGGAAUUACUGGGCGUAAAGCGUGCGCAGGCGGUUGUGCAAGACAGAUGUGAAAUCCCCGGGCUCAACCUGGGAAUUGCAUUUGUGACUGCACGGCUAGAGUGUGUCAGAGGGGGGUAGAAUUCCACGUGUAGCAGUGAAAUGCGUAGAGAUGUGGAGGAAUACCGAUGGCGAAGGCAGCCCCCUGGGAUGACACUGACGCUCAUGCACGAAAGCGUGGGGAGCAAACAGG